rnacentral:rRNA from 1 species
UACAGAGGGUGCAAGCGUUGUUCGGAAUUACUGGGCGUAAAGCGCGUGUAGGUGGCGAUGUAAGUCGGGUGUGAAAUCCCUCAGCUUAACUGAGGAAGUGCACUCGAUACUGUGUCGCUUGAGUGUUGGAGGGGAUGGCGGAAUUCCCGGUGUAGAGGUGAAAUUCGUAGAUAUCGGGAGGAACACCUGUGGCGAAGGCGGCCAUCUGGACAACUACUGACACUGAGACGCGAAAGCCAGGGGAGCGAACGGG